rfam:Rachicladosporium antarcticum strain CCFEE 5527 scaffold_13, whole genome shotgun sequence.
ACAUACGACCAUAGCUCCGAAGGAACAGCCAUACCCGUCCGCUCAUGGGAACUUAAGUUCGGAAGCGGCAGAAUAGUACUGUAGUGGGUGACCAUACGGGAAGUCCUGCUGUUGUAUGUU